rnacentral:sRNA from 1 species
AAACAAGCCGACAAAAA